AGAUUUUGUACCUCGGGGACCUGCUGGAGACCUGCCAUUUCCAGGCCUUCUGGCAAGCCCUGGAUGAAAACAUGGACCUCUUGGAAGGUAUAACUGGCUUUGAAGACUCUGUCCGAAAGUGUAAGUCCCUCUCUGAGGCUGGGCUCCCCAAGGGGAAGGGGUAGGGAGUGGCAGCCAGGUCCGGGGGGACAGCUGCUCACCGGUUUUGUCUCUGACCUCCACAGUUAUCUGCCAUGUUGUGGGUAUCACUUACCAGCACAUUGACCGCUGGCUGCUGGCCGAGAUGCUCGGGGAUCUGUCGGGUAACGCCCUCUGGGUCCUGGUGCACAUCUGGGAGGUUGGGGGUGGCUAGGGCAGUGGACCUCAGUCAGCUCCUCCAACGGGCCUGUCUGGGUCUCAUCAGGUCAGCAUGGAAGGCCCAGCCCAAGGAGGAAAUAAGAACUUGGUAUAAGACAGUCUCUGCCUUGAGGGAGAUCCUAUGCCAUUUGCUCAUUUAUUUUGCAUUAAUUGAGUGCCUACCGUGU
rnacentral:sRNA from 1 species